rnacentral:rRNA from 1 species
AUUGAACGCUGGCGGCAUGCUUUACACAUGCAAGUCGAACGGUAACAGGCCGCAAGGUGCUGACGAGUGGCGAACGGGUGAGUAAUGCAUCGGAACGUGCCCAGUCGUGGGGGAUAACGCAGCGAAAGCUGCGCUAAUACCGCAUACGAUCUCUGGAUGAAAGCGGGGGACCGAAAGGCCUCGCGCGAUUGGAGCGGCCGAUGUCAGAUUAGGUAGUUGGUGGGGUACAGGCCCACCAAGCAAACGAUCUGUAGCUGGUCUGAGAGGACGACCAGCCACACGGGGACUGAGACCCGGCCCGGAUUACUACGGGAGGCAGCAGUGGGGAAUUUUGGACAAUGGGCGCAAGCCUGAUCCAGCAAUGCCGCGUGCAGGAAGAAGGCCUUCGGGUUGUAAACUGCUUUUGUACGGAACGAAACGGUCCGGGUUAAUACCCUGGGCUAAUGACGGUACCGUAAGAAUAAGCACCGGCUAACUACGUGCCAGCCGCCGCCGUAAGAC